CUUGGUCAUUUAGAGGAAGUAAAAGUCGUAACAAGGUUUCCGUAGGUGAACCUGCGGAAGGAUCAUUCAUAAUAAGUGUUUUAUGGCACUUUUUAAAUCCAUAUCCACCUUGUGUGCAAUGUCAGUCGAUCUUCUUCAUGGAGAUCGGCCAAACAUCAACCUUAUUUUUUAACUCUUUGUCUGARAAAUAUUAUGAAUAAACAAUUCAAAAUACAACUUUCAACAACGGAUCUCUUGGCUCUCGCAUCGAUGAAGAACGCAGCGAAAUGCGAUACGUAAUGUGAAUUGCAGAAUUCAGUGAAUCAUCGAAUCUUUGAACGCAUAUUGCGCUCUUUGGUAUUCCGAAGAGCAUGCUUGUUUGAGUAUCAGUAAACACCUCAAAGCUUUUGGAUUUUUUUUGAAAGCUUUGGACUUGAGCAAUCCCAACGCCAAUCUUUUUCAGAUCGGCGGCGGGUUGCUUGAAAUGCAGGUGCAGCUGGACUUUCUCCUGAGCUAAAAGCAUAUUCAUUUAGUCCCGUCAAACGGAUUAUUACUUUUGCUGCAGCUAACAUAAAGGGAGUUUGACCGUAUUUGGCUGACUGAUGCAGGAUUUUACAAGGGUCGGCAACGAUUCUUGUUAAACUCGAUCUCAAAUCAAGUAAGGCUACCCGCUGAACUUAAGCAUAUCAAUAAGCGGAGGA
rnacentral:rRNA from 1 species